AACAGAUUCUGAAAUGUUUCUAGGCAGUGCUUCAAGAUCAUAUGUGGGGUGUGAACAUAUACCCAUUUGACCCCAAAGUCUGGGCUUAUAUAUUUUUAGGUUGAACAUUUAGAUUUGUUUCUGUCCCUCCAAUUUUUUUUGGAGGGGGAUGCAGCUUUAAAUAGUGGAAAUCUACCACUUAUUUUGUGAUCUGGGGUAAAUAAUCUCUGUGGAUGUGUAUCUUUAUCUAUAAACUGGGAAUAAUGCCUGCUUUCUCCAUGUCCUGGUUUUGUUCUGAGAUCACGUGUAUAGGAGAUUUCACUCUUCUUAUGACUUCACAAUUUAAUUUUGAAUGACUUGGUGGCUGGUGAGGUCGCCAGAAGAGCUGAGAGAGGGUGAUGGCAAGGUAACAGUCCAGGUGUAGCUGUGCUGAGUUGGGGUGUCUCCUGGACAGUAAGGAGAUGAAGCCCAGAUGACUUUGAAGGGCAGGAUUCUUGCUCUGGAGAGAGGACCAGGUGAUCUGGGUUGAAGACAGAAAUACCACUGAGACAUCUACACAUCUUAGCGCUAACAGGGAAACUCACUAUUGGAACUUGAUCAACAGUAAACAAAGCAUUGGGAGUGCAGUUAACAACAGAGAUAUGUCCAUCAGUCAGCAGCUCUUUACUGAACACAUAUUAGACCAGAGAAGGAUUCUUUACCAGCUGAGCUACCAGGGAAGUGAGAAGGUGG